rnacentral:rRNA from 1 species
AUGUAUGAUAUCUGUCAGCAGCAAGAGUCUACUCUUGCACAGGUUUGGGUCGGUGGUGAACUUCAUCUUACUUUUAGAAGAUGUGUGGAGGAAAAGGCUAUAGCUAGAUGGAAUGAACUCACUAAUUUAGUUAAGCAGGUUGCUCUAUCUGAUUCUCCAGACCAACCUGUUUGGAUGCUGGAAUCUUCCAGCAAGUACUCUGUCAAGUCUUUUUAUAAAUUAAUCAAUUUUUUUGGGGGGGUGUUUGCUGAGAUUAAAGAUGAUAUCUGGAAAAUCAAAGUGCCACCCAAUAUCCAUGUUUUCCUGUGGUUGAUCUACUAUAAUAAGAGGUUGACCAGGGAUAAUCGUGCUAAGCGCAGGCAUGUAGAGGACAUGUCCUAUGUCUUUUGCAAUGAACCUGAGACCAUUCAACAUCUUUUCUUUGAAUGCAUAUUUGCUAUGCAGGUUUGGGAUAUAGUAGUUGAUAGCUUUAAUGUUAUUACACCUAAGAUGAGGAAACAUUUUGAAGCUUUGAACAUAGUUACUGCUGCUGCCUUGUGGAGCUUAUGGCGUUUGCGAAAUGAUUUUGUUUUCCAGGGGCGAAGAUGGCGAAGUAUAUGCUGUGCUUUGGAUCUGUUGGGUGCAACGAUCUAG